rnacentral:rRNA from 1 species
CCAGACUCCUACGGGAGGCAGCAGUGGGGGAUAUUGCACAAUGGGGGGAACCCUGAUGCAGCGACGCCGCGUGGGUGAAGAAGCGCCUCGGCGCGUAAAGCCCUGUCAGCAGGGAAGAAAAUGACGGUACCUGAGUAAGAAGCCCCGGCUAACUACGUGCCAGCAGCCGCGGUAAUACGUAGGGGGCAAGCGUUAUCCGGAUUUACUGGGUGUAAAGGGAGCGUAGACGGCAGUGCAAGUCUGGAGUGAAAGGCGGGGGCUCAACCCCCGGACUGCUCUGGAAACUGUACGGCUGGAGUGCAGGAGAGGUAAGUGGAAUUCCUAGUGUAGCGGUGAAAUGCGUAGAUAUUAGGAGGAACACCAGUGGCGAAGGCGGCCUGCUGGGCUUUAACUGACGCUGAGGCUCGAAAGCGUGGGUAGCAAACAGGAUUAGAUACCCCUGUAA